rnacentral:lncRNA from 1 species
CAAGGUUUGUUUGUUGUUUUACCUUAUUUCUGUAAAGGCCUCAAUGUUAUUACAAAAUGUACUAGCAAUUGCCUUCACUGCAUUUUUGAAAGGUUGUUGCAAACUUUUGUCUUUUCAGUUCAAUUCAUUCUUGUGUGUUUACAUGGUGGUUUGUUGAUUUUUGUUUCUGUUUGUGAGUCCUCCUUUUCUCUUCCAGGUUACGGUUCCUGUUCCCACAUUUCUUCUCAUUCCCCACUGCAGGGGAGAAAAGGUACCCUGGACUCUGCAGCCCGGCAAGCCAUCAGCCAGGUGCUGUGUUUGACAACUCUUAGCCUCUGGAAGAUGCUCUUUUUAAGGCAACCUGUUCUUAACUUUAAUUAGGUAAGUGGCAUAUCCUGUUCUAGAUAGGUUAUUCAUACCUAGUUCACGUAUUUGAUUUGUGUCAGUAUGUCAAGCAGAGGCCAGACGCCUUUAAUAGGAGACAGUAGAGAUAUAUAAAGUGAAUCAAAGCUUUACUCUUACACCUGCUUCUAACAGGCUAUCCUGCAGAAAUGAAGGUGCCCUAGAUUGAGCUGCUGACCAGUUUUAAGAAUCAGUGCAGGCUUCUUGCCCAAUUCUAUUUAGCUGAGGUCAUGGACACACAUAAUCCCCCAGCCACACAUGUGUUUGCUGACAAGGCACCAUAAGCUUUCUUUCAGCCUAGCACCAUUUCCCUGCAUCUGGUUGACAUUACAGCAGGUGUAACAGGUCCUGUGAGCGCACUCUACUUCCUUUAAUUGAAGAAGAGCUGCAUUACUUUAAAUGGUCAAAUGAAAAAGUUUUGCUGAUACCAGCAAAUUUUCAUGUCUGCAUGGAAGGGAAGGAGAAGAGGGAGAGGGAAAUUCCCCACUUUUUUCAGUAGUGUACAUCCCCAGUAAACUGAAUUGAGCUCCAACAAGGGGCACUCCUAGAGACUGUAAACGGCAAUAAUCUGAGGUAUUCUAUGUGACGAGGUUGAAGUACUCCCUGCAUACAGCAGUCAUCACUCAUUUUUUCUGUGCUGCUCCCUUCUCUACUGGUUCUAUUCACAAUGGCUGCAAAACUUUCGAAGAUGGCAAAAAACAGUUCUAGAGCCAAAUGGUAGAAGGAAAUAAAGAUAAAAGAGAUGAAAUAACCA